UUUCCUGCCCAAGUGCAGAGGGGCUGGACCCGGUGAUCUCGUGAGGUCCCUUCCGACCCCUAACAUCUAUGAAUCUCUGACUCCCUGAAGGAAGUGACAGAGAUGAACCCCAGGUAGGUGAACUUCACAGUUCUCAGCUCUCCUUUUCUGUGUUACAGGAUGUUUUGGUUGUGGAAUAUGUUUCCUUUAUACAGAAACUCACCUUUUUGUAGCAUUCUGCUUAGGAUGGGAAAGCUUUUCCAAAGAGGGAGACCUCAUGGGGUAAGUUGGUCAGAUUGCAUCAAUCCAGUUCCCUACGGAAAUAGGGGCAACUGGGCUGUCCUGGCAGUAUAUGAGAUCCUGAAUCCACCUGCAGCAGCCUUUCUUCCCCAUCAGAGAGGUGUUGCCCACAACCCCAUGCUUGGCCCAUACAGUUUCCCUUGCUCCUUGGAUUGGUUGAAAUGCAUAGCAGUUUUGGAAGUGAAAUAAAGUGUAAGUAGGACCAUCCUGUGUGCCUUGCCCCUCCUUGGCAAUACUUUUUUAAGCCAAACUUCUGCACAUGAAUUGCAUAUAGAAGGAUGUAUCCAUAUUGCCAAUAUAACAAUGCUCAUUGCACAGGGACUUUUCUCCUCCUUUUCCUGAUGUCUGGUGCAAAGCACAUUUAUUCCAGGGUGUGUUAGCAAAAGCUCUGCAUUGCGCAGAAUGCUUAUUUCCCAAGCUCAGUCCCACUAGAAAACCUCUCCUAACAUAAAUGAGAAAUUAAACCUAAUCAGGCAAGCUAAACCCACUUAGGAAGACAGGAAAUGUUCAGCAGUAAUGAAGUUUAUUUGUGUGUCAAAGCCUAAGGGCCACGUAGAUCCAGUUCCUCAGCGGUAGCUUGCGUAUUGGAAAUAAAAUGCAUUGACAACUGUUUCCUAAUAAAGGUUUAAAUAUGAAGUAAUAAUCUCUCUCCUGCUGUGAUAGCUUCUCUGAAUGCUCCUUCCCCUUGGUGUCAUUCCACUUCAUAAACACAAGCACAACGGGGGGGUUUAUCUGCAUUGCUCAGUCAGUGUACGUAACUCGUGCUGAUGAUGCUAGUCUUGCCGCAUGGAAGUUCAGGCUGGUGUUUCCUUCUAGGUGGGCAGCUGUAUCCAAAGUGUUUUAGAGUCCAGCAUUACAACUGAGUGAUGAGACGGGAUGGGCCAUGACCAAGGCAUGAGCCUGGGGCACCGGAGUAGACGUUCCAGUUUCUGGCUUCAACCCAGACUUCAUGAAUAGGGAUCUACUCAAAUAGCAAUUUCAUGGAAAGCACAAAAUCCAGCCUUGCCCAUGAAAUCUGUGGAGAGAAAAACCCUAUUAAAAAUAAAAUGCUGGCUCCCCAGUGGGAGCCAGCAGUCCUCGUGGCUACUGCAGCCUGGCCGCGCAGCCUGCCUGCAAGGGAAGUGGGGAGGGAGGCUGCCAGCACACAGGGGAGACCAAAGCAGCAGCUGUCCCCACCUCUUGCCACUAAUUGGCUAAAAGGUCUGCCUGUUGUGGCCUCACCCCCUCCACCAAUUGGCAGUGAGGGGCAGGGCCACAUAACAGACCAUCCUCACAGCCAAGCAGUGGUGAUGGGCGAGGUCAUCGGGGCCCCUUGGCCAAUCAGAGGCAUGGGGAGGACCCUAUUAUGAUAUACCUUGAAAACUGUGCACAAAAUUGCCCGGCUGCCUCCUCGAGUUGGGCAGCCCCCUGUUCAGGAGUGCGUCCUGGGCAAGCCACGUUCGCAUCUCCCAGCACUGGAGCGUGGGUAAAGACUCUUCCCUAGCUCACACGGGGGUUGUGUGGCUAAACACAUUAAAGGGUGUCAAGUAACGAUGCAGUGAUAAGGGCCAUAAACAUUUAUAUAGAACUGGCAUGUUGCUCAGGGGGGUCUCCCUCUGCUCAUCCUCCAUGAUGGUGAAUUCACAGUUCAGCUUCCCAAAACCUCCAAGGAAAUAAAGCAUUUCUAUUUUACAGAUGGAGAAAUGAAGGCAGGGUGUGGUUAAGUGACUUGCCCUGGGCGGCAUAGGAAGUCAGUAGCGGAGGGAAAAAAUGUUGCUACGACAGUGUGCAUAGCCUUUACGAAGGAGUCAUUAGUACACCGUAUCUUUAUGAUACCUCUGAUCUGACACCCGACGUGUCUGACUUUGGGCGCCAUUCACGUUGAGGUGUAAGGGAUGACUGCUUCAGCUCCUAUUACUCCCGGACGCGUGGCUGCUAGAUAUGAAUGUCCUUUUGGCAUCUAGGAGUCGCUGUCGCAGAUCGCCAUGCAGCGGUGCUUGGCAGCAGAACAGGACAGGACAGCAGCCCCAGCCCCAAAGGCAGCAGGUGCGUACAGCCAGACAGCGACGACAAGGGCCAAGGCUGAACAGAUGGUGUAAGUGCGUGCUUCCUGGAAUAGCAAGUCCUACACAGACUUGCACACUUGAUCCAUAGCGAUAAUCUCCUGGAUCCCAACUGUGACCAGCAGGUCGUCCUUCUACGCCGCUCCAUUUUUGUUGGGUUUCUGGUCUUGGCCUGAUCCCAGGGGUAGCUUAAUUGCAACUUCAUGCUGUGGUGUCUCCCUCUCCAGCUUCACCAUCUUGUUUUAGCUGAUGUUUUCUAUUUGCAGAUCUCAUGCUUCAUCCCCUUUUCACAGAUAGGGAAAUCCAGAGAUAAGGAGGCUGUCUUGUCGGAGCCUGCAGAACUAGUCAAUGGCACAGCUGCAAAAAGAAAGAGGCCUUUUGAUUCCCAUGUGAGGGGGCUCUUUACUGGAUCACACUGCUAUUGUACUGGGUGCAGUCCACCGUUCAGCUACACUCGGUGACCUGACCCCAUCUUAUCUCCCCUCUUAAGUUCCAUAUUAUUACUUCAUUCCUCUACCCUUUGGCUCCAUACUGCUGUCUGGGUGGCAUGUUUUGAAGGUCACCUUUGCAUAUUAGGAUCUUGCCAGGGGAGGACAAGUGCUGUGCUGGGGGUAAUCACAAAUACUUUGGUGACAGAACUGCUAAACCUGGGAACAACAGAGACACUGUUGUGGGUAUUGUGCAGUGUGUGGCAACCACAGGCAAAGAGCCUGGGAGUGAAAAGGUGGAGAGGGCACAGCGUGGAGAGCAUUGAAUGAAAACCCAGCAAGCUGUGGUUUGGCAAGCUUCCCGCUCAUCAGGAUUUGAGCUGGAAGUUCAAGUUGCAGCAUUCAGCGACUUGGGCCUGCUCUCUGCCUGCAUUGGCAGAAAGUGGCGCUUGUCAGUUAAAGCAGAUGUGUCGGGUAAAGAUGAAUCUUCCCAACUCCAGCGCAAACAUGUUGCUUUAAAGUAUUAUUUUACUGGGGUGCGGAUUGAUGCUCUUGUUGAUGUGCACCCAGAAAAGAAGCUAUCUGUCCUCCACAUUUAUUUUCGAAUGGGAUGUGUCCCUACUAAAGGGUUCUGACAACGAGUAUUUUUUCAGGCACGCGGAGACCGAUACUGCUGUGUGUGGGUGUUAGUCUCUCUUAUCUCCUCCUGUGUAGUGAACAAGUAUCACUUGUUCCUGCUGCAGGGAGAAUCAAUUUGAAAUGGGAGGCACUGGCCCUUGGUGACUGGGUUGUUUCUUAACAUACCACUGCUGACUUGGCAUUGAAUUCCCAGCGACUCCGUCACCGCCUGGCCGCUCUGCAAAUGAUGCAUCUCAGCUGUUUGCAUGUCAUUUCGGCACAAGUCGUUUGCUAUAGUGGAUGCUUCAAAAUGCAGACGUGCCUUGAGAAAGGCACACGCACAGCAGAGAAGGACCAAGAUAGUGAAGCUGGCUGUUCUUUAUAACCUACCAACCAGACCAUCUGUUUAAUUUAACCCUCAGCUACCACUGGCUGCUCUGUGUUUCUUUUCAUUUUGUAGGUAGCAAAUUGCUAGAAGUAACUGUGACCUGAUGGAAAGUCUGACGGCUAGGAAGUCACUGCUGAGCCUUUUAGCAAAAAUAACCUCUCUUUCUUGUUCCCUGGAGGUAAGGAGAAAACAUGCCUGACAAUUCAGCCAGUGUUAGUCUGGGGCACGCCAGCUGCUCCUUGGGGAAGGUACUUCCUAAAUUGGGAGGAGUCGCCCUGAGCUGGCAGAGGAGAGCCCGGUUCUGAGAAAUGCUUUGAACAGGGAAAGCGUGUGAAAGAAAUGGGUGCGUUCAGUCUGGGAGGCCACAGCCCAAGAGUCCUUCAAUGGAAAGACAGACCCAAAAUGGAUCACGCUCAAUGGUGACUAACCAGCACGAAGGAAAUGAUUGUUCAGAGAAUUGAACAAGAGGGAGCCGAAUUCACCAGUUAAGUACAGGUUGCCGAGCCUCCUCAGAAGGUCCAGUAGAUCUACUUGCAUGUCCAGGGGACUGUAACAUCUAUCAUGACUGCAAACUCUUCAAAUUUUCCUGUUGCUUGACUUCGGAUUUUUGUAGGAAGCAGCAGGCUAUGAGGAUAUUGUCACAUCACCUGCAGGCAGAAAACAAGCGGGUCUGAAGUACCCACACAGAGGUGAGCUGCAGCCAGCACCGCCUCACUAGCCCCAUGACAUGAAGUAGCAUGCAAGGAAAGCGAGAAUAUGGCAAGGGGCAUGCCGACGCUGACCUCCGAGCCUGGAAGCCGUUCCAAAUUCAAAUGAAAAGUUCUGAUUUCAAGUAAUUUAGGGCAAAAAUAAAUCAUUUGGAGAGGAGGAGAAAUGUAUUCAGACGGGUCAUACAGUACCAGAACAAUGUGAAAAAUAAUGCCCAUGUUUAUACUUCGUCAGCAAUUGGAUCCCUAAGAAAUUAGCUCAUCCGUUAUGUGUAGUUUGCUUUGAGAUGCAGCCAUGAAACGCUUUAUUUUUCCUUCCUGCAGUAUCAAAUACAAAAACCCCAACAAGAAACCCACAAAACCCCAAAAGCCAAGAACGCCCCCAACCUGGCAAAAACAAACCACAGAACUGAACGAAGUUGUUAAUCUAUUGGGGCAGAUUCUCAUCGACAGGAAGAGAGAGGUGUCACGUGGGUUUGCAGCUGGUGUGUAGACAGAGCCCAGCACUUCUACAAUAUCAGUACAGCCCCCACCCUGCACUGCAGACACGAUGGGAACAGGAUGGAGAUGCUUAUCUUCGUAGAGACAUUUCAAUAGGGCCAGAGGAAUAAGCACUACUGAGGGACGUAUGCCAGAAUAGCUAUAUAUAGAGGUUGUAGCAGUAGGGUUUUUAUCUUUAAGUAAGGCACGUUUCAAAGUGAUUAUACGAGUGCCAAAAGUGUGUUUAGACACUGAUAUAGUAAGUGAGAAUCAGACCCUUUGUUAACACUAAGCCACUCUGAGCAUGGCCUGCUCUUUGACUAGGCAAUUGUAUCACAAAAGCAUGAAGUACUGUAUUUUCUCACUUACAAUAUGUCCCCACCAAUAAGAUAUACCUUGUUUCAAAAGGCAGAAUAAAGAAAAAGACCUUUCCUUGAAAAUACUGGUAUUAGCAGUAACUGAGCAGCAACUUCUGCAGCUGCCAGGGGAGGCGGUGGAGGGAGAGAGCAUCUAGUCAGCAGCACCCAAGGAGCCCCACAUGCAGAAGUGUUAUUUUUGCUUCCUUUCUCCCCUCCCCUUGCCAAAAUUAUUACCUUAUUUCCUUGCUAAUGAUGCACACCCAACUUCCAGCAGCUACAUUUUUGAAAAAGGUGUGAGAGAAAAUAUGGUCAUUGAAAAACAGAGAAAUGCGGUUGUUCUCAACAGUGCUGUAAACUUGCAGCUGUCAUGGCUUUCGUGGGAGCUACUGCGGUUACUGCUCAGGCCCAUCAGACACCACAGAUUGAAGUGCCUGAGACAGUCACUAAGGAUACGGACAAACAAGUCAAGGAGUAGGAAGGGAGUGGGAAAUUUCAACACAACAAACUGGAACAAGCAGGUUCUUCUAGGUCUGGAGACAUUAAUAGUAGCUGACAACUUCCCUCUUUCGGAAGAGAGAGCUCAUUGGCCGUGUUAGUCUGCAGUCAUGCAGCAGGUAGUCUGUAAAGUGCAAGUCUACCCUAAUUAAAUUAGAGAUGUAUAGCAUAAGCUUUCAUGAGCCCCAGCUCACUUCAUCAGAUGCUGUGAUCAGAUCGGGCUCACAAAAGCUUAUGCUAUACAUCCGUGAUGUAUUUAGUCCAUAAGGUACAAAUGUACCCUACCUUCCGUAAUUCAUGUUGGAAGCAAGAAAGCUAGCUUGGGCUAACUACCCCUCUCUGCUCACAGAUGGCUUUGCACUUGGCCUCUUCAUGAAGGUGUGCACCUGAGUGAAGUGGGGGGGAAGGACAUUGCUUCUGCUGGUUUAAUAACAAAGGGGCCAGGUUAUACCUAACGGCGCUUGCUGUUUAAGUUUCUUUAUAACACAAAGGCAAAGAUGCAGACAUCUCUUAGGAUGGUGAUGCUACAUUUCUGCCAGACAGGACUGUUGGUUUUGGUGUGGAUCUGCGAGCACCAGAGACCAGGCAUCAGACAGAGAAGAGUUAAUUCGUGUUUUCAAAAGGAUCUGACAGCUGACCACAACUAAUUAGAGGGAUAAAGGGAAAAGGAAGAAAUGCCACUUUCCAUCAACUCUGUCAUUGGAUUUUAUCCUAGUUAAUUUAAUUAGAUUUGUGCAAGAUAAAAUUUCCACUUUAAAACAAAAAUCACAACAUUUACAUACACACACAGUCGCAUGAUACACAACAUAUAGCUAACAUUUAUAUACAGGUUAUUUACUAGCAGCUAUACUCUAAAUUCACAUAGUACAUGGCUUUACUUGCUACAGUUUCAGGCACAGUGGAAGGUUUUUCAAGUGGGACAGGUGGGAGGUGGGUGAACCACAAUAAAUACUUUGUGCUGGAUCCUCAGUUUGGCACAUCUAAAUGCAAAUCUACCAACUGAAGAUUCAACAGGAAAUAAAAAACGGGGCAUAUAAUUCAGCUAAUACUAAAAAAACUAUACAACUUUUGUAUUAAACACCAAAUUCAUCCUUCAAUGGUGUGUUAAGGUACUGAAAUCAAGUCCGUUCCAAGUUACUUUCUCUCUAAACCAUCUCAGUUGUCAAUUAAAAAAAAAAAAUCCCAAACCACCACACGAUCAAUGCUUGCUACUGUUGAGAUAAUGGAUCACAUGCGAAUAUAGGUCCGUAGGAGUCUGCAUUUGUAUUUAAUGUUCCUUUAAUAAAAUUCAGAAGUUCAAUGUA